AGCAAGGUUAAAACAUCUAACUUGCAAGGUAAUAGAUCUGAUCUAUUGUUUAAUACAUACAUUAGAUGUAGUAUAGAAACAUGUUGAUAUGAUCAACAUGUAGUUCAUGCUCUAUAUAUUUUAAUUUUUAAUUUAAUGCUAUGUAAUAAUCAUGUAAUAGAAUCUUAGAUCUAGAGAUUCUCUGAUUUUAAAAAAUAAAUUUUGAUUUAUUUUAGUCUUCCGCUGC
rnacentral:lncRNA from 1 species